CUCCUCUGGCUGAGUGUAUACAAAGUUGACUCUGUAUUCAAGAAGAAAGAAGGGUAAAAACAGAAGAAAUGGAAAAGCAGGACGUUCAAGAGGAAAAUGAUUUGUUUAGAAGCCAACACACCACCCACAUCUGGCAGGAAACCAGACGCAGGCUAGGCAUUUGUGGGCCUGUUCUACUUGCUGUCCUACAUGAUAUUUCACUCUGAAGAUCCAGAAGGACCUAACAC